GACGUAGGGGGCGAGCGUUGUUCGGAAUCACUGGGCUUAAAGGGCGCGUAGGCGGGCAGGCAAGUCCGGGGUGAAAUCUUUCGGCUCAACCGGAAAAGGGCCUUGGAUACUGCUUGUCUGGAGGGAGGUAGGGGCAGAUGGAACUUCCGGUGGAGCGGUGAAAUGCGUUGAUAUCGGAAGGAACGCCGGUGGCGAAAGCGAUCUGCUGGACCUCUACUGACGCUGAGGCGCGAAAGCCAGGGGAGCAAACGGG
rnacentral:rRNA from 1 species